UGAUGAUGAUGAUGAUGAUGAUGAUGAUGAUGAUAAAGAGGAUGAUGAUAAUAAAGAGGAUGGUAUUUAUCGCCAUCAUCAUGGUAGGAAACAUCAUCAUAGGGG
rnacentral:miRNA from 1 species